UACGUAGGGUGCAAGCGUUGUCCGGAAUUAUUGGGCGUAAAGAGCUCGUAGGCGGUCUGUCGCGUCGGCUGUGAAAACCCGGAGCUCAACUCCGGGCCUGCAGUCGAUACGGGCAGACUGGAGUUCGGCAGGGGAGACUGGAAUUCCUGGUGUAGCGGUGAAAUGCGUAGAGACCCGGAGGAACACCAGUGGCGAAGGCGGCUUCCUGGUCUGCGACUGACGCUGUGGCGCGAAAGCUAGGGGAGCAAACGGG
rnacentral:rRNA from 1 species